rnacentral:rRNA from 1 species
CCUACGGGUGGCUGCAGUGAGGAAUAUUGGUCAAUGGGCGGAAGCCUGAACCAGCCAUCCCGCGUGAAGGAAGACAGCCUUACGGGUUGUAAACUUCUUUUCUGUCAGAAGAAUAAGCUUGUCGAGACGAGUGAUGCCGGUAUGACAGGAAUAAGCAUCGGCUAACUCCGUGCCAGCAGCCGCGGUAAUACGGAGGAUGCAAGCGUUAUUGGGAUUUAUGGGGUUUAAAGGGUGUGCAUGAGUCAGGGUAGAAAGUCUGUCGCUUAACGGUAGGAUUGCCAUUGAUACUGUUAGACUUGAAUAUGGAUGAGGUAGGCGGAAUGUGUAGUGUAGCGGUGAAAUGCAUAGAUAUUACACAGAACACCGAUUGCGAAGGCAGCUUACUAAUCCAUCAUUGACGCUGAGGCACGAAAGCGUGGGGAUCAAACAGGAUUAGAUACCCGGGUAGUC